rnacentral:lncRNA from 1 species
AAGAAUCGAGAAAUUGAGGAGAAAGGUUGAAGAAGGAACAACAAGGAAGGAGGAGGAGGAAGAGGAAGGAGCUCAGCGGCGUCAAGGGUAUAUACGUCAUUAUGUACCUUCAUGUCUAAUUUGUUUUUUUUUUUUUAAUGACGACAUUUCACCAGCACUCACCGAUGAUCUAAAUGGUUUAAUCUCAGCCGUUAGAUCUGCUUACCAAGUCGCCUGAUUCUUCAGACUUUUUGUUUUUUUUUGGUAUCUGAUUAUUUAUUUAUAAAAAUUGCA